AUCACCCUGUGACAUACCUAUAACGUUGCCUCGGCGGGAACAGACGGCCCCGUAACACGGGCCGCCCCCGCCAGAGGACCCCCUAACUCUGUUUCUAUAAUGUUUCUUCUGAGUAAACAAGCAAAUAAAUUAAAACUUUCAACAACGGAUCUCUUGGCUCUGGCAUCGAUGAAGAACGCAGCGAAAUGCGAUAAGUAAUGUGAAUUGCAGAAUUCAGUGAAUCAUCGAAUCUUUGAACGCACAUUGCGCCCGCCAGUAUUCUGGCGGGCAUGCCUGUUCGAGCGUCAUUACAACCCUCAGGCCCCCGGGCCUGGCGUUGGGGAUCGGCGGAAGCCCCCUGCGGGCACAACGCCGUCCCCCAAAUACAGUGGCGGUCCCGCCGCAGCUUCCAUUGCGUAGUAGCUAACACCUCGCAACUGGAGAGCGGCGCGGCCACGCCGUAAAACACCCAACUUCUGAAUGUUGACCUCGAAUCAGGUAGGAAUACCCGCUGAACUUAAA
rnacentral:rRNA from 1 species